UUACCAAGAGUUAACAUGAUGAGAAUCAUUAUAAUAGUAAUCAAGACAGUAUACUGGGUCAAAGGUGUUACAGGGGCGAAUGAUGUCAAUCAGCCUAAUGUACUCUGGGGUGAAAUUGGAAAAUCUACCACAAUUAAUUGUAGUCAUACUAAGGGUGUAGAUUACAAUCAGAUGUACUGGUACCGCCAGCACCAAGGAGAAACUCUGAAGCUCAUUGUCUUCACAGCCACCUAUAUCACAAAGCCAGAGUUUGGGAAUGAAUUUAAUGAGAGUAAAUUCUUAGCCAGUAAAAUGGUUCCUGAGAGUGGCUCCCUUACAGUUAAAAAUCUGGAUUUUACUGACAGUACAAUGUAUUUCUGUGCUGUGAAAGAACACAGUGUUACAACUUUAGGGCAGGGCUGUACAAAAACACCCUGUGUACAUGCAUAUCUUGGAGAACAGCCAAUAGAGGAACUGUGA